CGUACACUCCUACGGGAGGCAGCAGUGGGGAAUUUUGGACAAUGGGCGAAAGCCUGAUCCAGCCAUGCCGCGUGCAGGAUGAAGGCCUUCGGGUUGUAAACUGCUUUUGUACGGAACGAAACGGCCUUUUCUAAUAAAGAGGGCUAAUGACGGUACCGUAAGAAUAAGCACCGGCUAACUACGUGCCAGCAGCCGCGGUAAUACGUAGGGUGCAAGCGUUAAUCGGAAUUACUGGGCGUAAAGCGUGCGCAGGCGGUUAUGUAAGACAGUUGUGAAAUCCCCGGGCUCAACCUGGGAACUGCAUCUGUGACUGCAUAGCUAGAGUACGGUAGAGGGGGAUGGAAUUCCGCGUGUAGCAGUGAAAUGCGUAGAUAUGCGGAGGAACACCGAUGGCGAAGGCAAUCCCCUGGACCUGUACUGACGCUCAUGCACGAAAGCGUGGGGAGCAAACAGGAUUAGAAACCCCGGUAGUCCCAUGA
rnacentral:rRNA from 1 species